rnacentral:lncRNA from 1 species
AGUUAGUUCAGUUUAUCUGUGAUGUAUACAGUGCCAAAAAUAGUAGCAUGAAGUAAGCCCAGAAAUGUGGUUUGGAACUAGGUUGUGGAGGCCCUUGAAUAAUCUUUUAUACCAUCAGCUUAUCCAGGCAGUUGCAUGCAGUGGAAAGAGCCCUAGAUUUGGAGUUAGAGUUGAAAUUCAGGUUUGGCUUUGUUGAAUGCAGUCCUCAGAAGGGGUUACCUUGACUUCACUGACCUGAUGGUUGGAGGAAGUUUUGUGAUAUCUCUGGGAACUCAAGGCACCUGGAGCCUAUUAUUCUCACCAGAUGUCUAUCACUCCCCAGUUUUAGGUUAUUAUGCAAAAUAACUUAACAUACCACGUGUUACUGCCUCUCCCCACCAUUCCUCCCUGAUGAGUCUAUUUAAAUCCUGCCCUUUCUGUUCCCUUUAGGAUACUCCUAUACUUUGGUGCUGUUCUGGAUUGCAACCUCCUUGCCUCAAUUAAAGAUCCUUCUUGCUAUAUUGUUCUCUCUAUUUCAAGGUUGAUAGCUAUUUGUGACCUGCCAUCUUGGGCAAGCCAAGGUAUUCUACCUUAUGGACAAAUCCUACAAUUUGAGAAUGCAUGGAUGAAUUGUACUCUGAAUUGUCGUAGGGAGUACUACCUUGAUAAGAUCAUUUAG